GUUUGCAUGACGGAGUCAUUUGGUAUUUCUGGGGGACUUCAUAGAGGAUGAAGAGGAUCCCAUCUAGAUCUCUUUCAGAAGGGAAGCCAGACUCCUUUAGAGAGCUCGCCAUGGCCUGGCCUCUGUUCUUCCUGGCACUUCUGAGCUACUGCUCAAGUAAAUCCCCCACAGCUGUCUAUGGAUGCUUGUUUGUAAUUUCUUUUUGUUUUUAACUUGUCUUUAACUUUCUAUGAUUUUAUUGUUUUUAUAUUGUUGUAAACCAUGGUGAUCUUCUAUUUUAUGAGACAGAGGAAUAUAAAUAUUUUCAUAAAUAAAAGUAUGGAGGAUUCAGUAUACACAGCCCAAGAUCAAAUCUCUUUUCAUGAUGUACUCAUCAUGGGGACAUUAUGCUUUUUGUGAAAGUCAUGACUUAUUUCCUAUUUCUUUGUUCAGGUGUCACUUCACAAGCAACAGUGACGCAGCCUGCUUCUUCAUCUGUCGCCCUCGGACAAACAGCUAAACUCUCCUGCACUGGCAGUCAUGGUGGGAGCUGGUCCGGCUAUCAGUGGCAUCAACAGAAACCCGGACAGGCUCCUCGCUUGGUGGUCCGUGGUACCAGCACCCGGGGAGAAGGGAUCCCAGAUCGGUUCACUGGCUCUUCCUCUGCAAACCCUUACUACUUAACCAUCUCCAACACCCAGGCAGAAGAUGAGGCCGUUUAUUACUGUCUUGCUUGGGAGGACAAAAGUAAAAUGUU